CUUGCAACAGUAUCCAGGCUUCAUGCCUUGCUGAAUCCAUAUUUAGUCUCAACAUCUGCAGCGAUGUUCAGCACAGACUUUUAUUCCACUUUGUAGAGCAGCCAUCUGAUGGGUAUUUUCAUACAGGUGGUUUUGGUUCACCAACUCAGAUCCAAAGUAUAGGAUGGACAUCACAACCGGCAAGACACGGCUGGAAUACCCAGUGUAGGAGACCCAACUCAUCCUGGUCAAUCUGAUUCUUGAGAAAAGAAGACUGUGAUGACCAUUGCCAGCUUCUACCUGUUGGAACUGUAGGAAAUGCUGCCACUGCCUGCUGCCUUGAAAAGAAACUGAGUGACCAUAGUAAACCGAUAUGUUGUUCUGGAAAUUAAGCCACCAUUCACUCUCCUGAAAUUGAGAAAACCAGAGUUUUCUGGUUCCAGGCAAUGGAAGAAACAGCUGGUUUGGCAUUGCUUCUGUAAUAUUGGCAAGCCUGUUCUACAGGCUGUUUGCACCUACCAUCAAUAAAAGGCUAAGUGAAACUGCAA